rnacentral:rRNA from 1 species
UCCCUACGGGGCGCAGCAGUGAGGAAUAUUGGUCAAUGGCCGAGAGGCUGAACCAGCCAAGUCGCGUGAGGGAAGACGGCCCUACGGGUUGUAAACCUCUUUUGUCGGGGAGCAAAGCGAGUCACGUGUGACUCAUUGAGAGUACCCGAAGAAAAAGCAUCGGCUAACUCCGUGCCAGCAGCCGCGGUAAUACGGAGGAUGCGAGCGUUAUCCGGAUUUAUUGGGUUUAAAGGGUGCGCAGGCGGAGGUGCAAGUCAGCGGUCAAAUUGCGGGGCUCAACCCCGGCCCGCCGUUGAAACUGGCAG